GAUGAAGAACGUAGUGAAAUGCGAUAAGUAAUGUGAAUUGCAGAAUUCAGUGAAUCAUCGAAUCUUUGAACGCACCUUGCGCCCUUUGGACUUCUGUAGGGCAUGCCUGUUUGAGUAUCAUGAACACCUCAACUCCUUAUGGUCUUCCAUGAUGAGCUUGGACUUUGGGGGUUUUGCUGGCCUACAGUCAGCUCCUCUAAAAUAAAUCAGCUUACCGGUGUUUGGUGGGUAUCAUGGGUGUGAUAACUAUCUACGCUCGUGGUUUUCCACCAGGUAACCUUCAGCAGUGGAGGUUCACUGGAGCUCAUAGAUGUCUCUCCACAGCGAGGACAGCCCUUUGAAUGUUUGAACUCAAAUCAGGUAGGACUACCCGCUGAACUUAAGCAUAUCAAUAAGCGGAGGA
rnacentral:misc_RNA from 1 species